rnacentral:rRNA from 1 species
GAGUUUGAUCUUGGCUCAGGAUGAACGCUAGCGGCAGGCCUAAUACAUGCAAGUCGAGGGGCAGCGCGGGUAGCAAUACCUGGCGGCGACCGGCGCACGGGUGCGUAACGCGUAUGCAAUCUGCCUUGUACUAAGGGAUAGCCCAGAGAAAUUUGGAUUAAUACCUUAUAGUAUAUAGAUGUGGCAUCACAUUUAUAUUAAAGAUUUAUCGGUACAAGAUGAGCAUGCGUCCCAUUAGCUAGUUGGUAUGGUAACGGCAUACCAAGGCAAUGAUGGGUAGGGGUCCUGAGAGGGAGAUCCCCCACACUGGUACUGAGACACGGACCAGACUCCUACGGGAGGCAGCAGUGAGGAAUAUUGGUCAAUGGGCGCAAGCCUGAACCAGCCAUGCCGCGUGCAGGAUGAAGCAUCUAUGGUGUGUAAACUGCUUUUGUACGGGAAGAAACAGCUCUUCGUGAAGAGCCUUGACGGUACCGUAAGAAUAAGGAUCGGC